rnacentral:rRNA from 1 species
UGAUUAUAUUUUAUUUAUUAAUUUUUUUUUUGUUUAUAUAGAUUAUUAAAAAUAAUUAUAAAAAAGUAUGUUUAAGUAUUUUAUAAAGAAAAAAUAAUUUUAAUUAUAGUGUAAUAGUAUUGUGAAAGAAAAUUGAAAUAAUUUGAAAAAUUAAUAUUUUAAAAGAAAAUUUAAUUUAUUGUACCUUGUGUAUCAGGGUUUAUCUAAUAAAAAUUAAUUAUUUAAUUUUCUCGAUUUUAAAAGAGUUAAUAUAUUAUAAAAGUUAAUGUGAUAAAAUUAUUUUUAAUAAUAUAUUAGAAAUGAAAUGUUAUUCGUUUUUAAAGGUAUCUAGUUCUUUAAGAAAUAAAUUUAAUUUAGAAAUUUUAUAUUAUUUAAUUAAAUAUAUUAAUUAAAUAAUUAUUUAAUUUUAAUAUUUUAUGGGAUAAGCUAUAAAAUAAAUUUUUAAAAAUUAAUAAAUAAUUUAAUAAAUAUAAGCUUAGAAAUAGCUACUAUUAAUAAAAUUGUUAUAAUUUAUUUUAUAAUAGAUAUUAUUUAUUAAAUUUUAAAUAUGUAUUAAAGUAUUUAUUUUAAUAAUAAAAAUAAAAUAAUAAUGAUAAAAUUAGUAUAUUAUUUUGUAUAAAUAUAAUAGAUUGAAAAGUUUUUAUAAAGAACUCGGCAAAAAUAAUGUUCGCCUGUUUAACAAAAACAUGUCUUUUUGAAUUUUUUUUAAAGUCUAACCUGCCCACUGAAUUAUUUUUAAAUGGCCGCAGUAUACUAACUGUGCAAAGGUAGCAUAAUCAUUAGUCUUUUAAUUGAAGGCUGGUAUGAAUGGUUGGACGAGAUAUUAACUGUUUCAUAAAAAUUUAUAGUAGAAUUUUAUUUUUUAGUCAAAAAGCUAAAAUAAAAUUAAAAGACGAGAAGACCCUAUAAAUCUUUAUAUAUAAAUUAUUAGAAUUUUGUAGAUUUUUUUUAUUAUAAUAAUUGAUUAUAUUUUAUUGGGGUGAUAUUAAAAUUUAAUAAACUUUUAAUUAUUAAAAUCAUUAAUUUAUGAUUAAUUGAUCCGUUAAUAACGAUUAAAAAAAUAAGUUACUUUAGGGAUAACAGCGUAAUUUUUUUGGAGAGUUCAUAUCGAUAAAAAAGAUUGCGACCUCGAUGUUGGAUUAAGAUAUAAUUUUAGGUGUAGCCGCUUAAAUUUUAAGUCUGUUCGACUUUUAAAUUCUUACAUGAUCUGAGUUCAAACCGGCGUAAGCCAGGUUGGUUUCUAUCUUUAAUAAAGAAAAAUAUUUCAGUACGAAAGGACCUAAUAUUUGAUAAAUUAUUAUUUUUAUAUUGAAUAUAAUUAAUAUA